GGCAUGGAAGACUCCACUGAAUUUGGGAGGUGAUCCGGAUCUGGAUUGGUGGACAUCAGAAAUAUCUAAUUGCUCUUGUUGUUGUUUUUUUUCUUCAGCUGCUGU